rnacentral:rRNA from 1 species
CCGCUAGAUGACGCUGGCGGCGUGCUUAACACAUGCAAGUCGAACGAUGAUCCGGUGCUUGCAUCGGGGAUUAGUGGCGAACGGGUGAGUAACACGUGAGUAACCUGCCCUUGACUCUGGGAUAAGCCUGGGAAACUGGGUCUAAUACCGGAUACGACCAUCUGGCGCAUGCCAUGGUGGUGGAAAGCUUUUGCGGUUUUGGAUGGACUCGCGGCCUAUCAGCUUGUUGGUGGGGUAAUGGCCUACCAAGGCGACGACGGGUAGCCGGCCUGAGAGGGUGACCGGCCACACUGGGACUGAGACACGGCCCAGACUCCUACGGGAGGCAGCAGUGGGGAAUAUUGCACAAUGGGCGCAAGCCUGAUGCAGCGACGCCGCGUGAGGGAUGACGGCCUUCGGGUUGUAAACCUCUUUCAGUAGGGAAGAAGCGAAAGUGACGGUACCUGCAGAAGAAGCGCCGGCUAACUACGUGCCAGCAGCCGCGGUAAUACGUAGGGCGCAAGCGUUAUCCGGAAUUAUUGGGCGUAAAGAGCUCGUAGGCGGUUUGUCGCGUCUGCUGUGAAAGACCGGGGCUCAACUCCGGUUCUGCAGUGGGUACGGGCAGACUAGAGUGAUGUAGGGGAGACUGGAAUUCCUGGUGUAGCGGUGAAAUGCGCAGAUAUCAGGAGGAACACCGAUGGCGAAGGCAGGUCUCUGGGCAUUAACUGACGCUGAGGAGCGAAAGCAUGGGGAGCGAACAGGAUUAGAUACCCUGGUAGUCCAUGCCGUAAACGUUGGGCACUAGGUGUGGGGGACAUUCCACGUUUUCCGCGCCGUAGCUAACGCAUUAAGUGCCCCGCCUGGAGU